GAUGAGAUGAUUGAUUAUUUCCUCUAAUGAUCGCAGCUGAUUAUACAGUGCUAAAUAUUACAUUACAUUCCCCUUUGUCGAGGAAUCAAAGCCAGUGGUGUGCUGAUC
rfam:Punica granatum cultivar Dabenzi scaffold225, whole genome shotgun sequence.